CGGGCUGCUUGCGGAUGUUGUUCCGGUUGCGCUUACGCCUUUUGUUUCUCCGCUCACCGUUAAAGCCCGCCUCGAACUCAGGCACGAGGUUGCUGUGGUGGUCGUCGGCUGUGUUGCAUAUCGUAUUACAGAUUGAUCAUCAUCGCGCGAGCAACGUUCAGGGUAUGAAGAGUGAUUCGUCGAUGCUGAUCAGCCAAAGGCAUACGAUCGACAACGAUGGAGAGCGUGGAUCGAUGCGAUUUUAAAAUUGAGUGGAUGACAGGGAUGCGAGCGACGAGUAAAAAAGAUAGUCGGACGGCGAGGAAUCCAGCUAACUCGUUGGUAUCAUCGUUCACGAGUCAACAAGCGUGUUGUAAUUAAGUCACGCGCGGAGGGACGGAGAGGGUCGAAAGCUGGAGGGGAUGACGCAGAGUCGGGAUUGAUUGCAUUUCAUUCAAAGGAGAAUACCUUGCAGAGAGCGAGUCCCCGCGAGUUUUACGAAGCCAUUGCGUUUCGAAUUGAAUCUGGGAGUGUCGGCAGUCUAUACACCAAACACAAAAUUACGAGCAUUUUGCAAUUGGGACAAAGAGCCGAGCCAUAGCUACGUCGAUGCCUUUUAUAUUUCUCGUUUAAAAUCGACCCGAGCACCGAGAUUUAAUCGGCUUACGGGCAUCCGCAUCUCUGCCGUGAAAAAACACAUUUUUCCCUCGUAUAAUCCAGUCAGUUCUUAUCGUCAUUCUUGUUAUGCUCUCUCUCUCUCCGCUUUGCUCGGUUAUCAGCGCGUCAUUUCCGAAUCGUUGAGUAUCCAAAUUGUAGGAUUGGCAUGAUUCUUCGCCGAGGAGAAAUGUCAGGGAGCGGAUGAAAGAACAUAAUAUGAGAAAAUAUUAAUAAAAGCGAUGUGAUUCGAUUGCUCGGGGGAAAAUAGGAAUCGGAGAAUCAUACGCUUCCGUAACGGCCUUGUGCUCCGUCGAGUACGUUAGGAACCAUCGAUUAUUCAUUAUUUUUUCUUUAUCCGAGAAUGAGAAGACGGAUAAAAAUGAAUUUCGUUCAAUACACGCAUUCCCGUGGGAAUUUGGAAAUUGUACGGAACAUCGGGCAGCGUUCCAUUCGCGAACGCGCAUCUCUAUUUCAGUUCUCCGACCGAGCAUCACCCCCGAAGACAAUACCUUGAAUAAUCCGAUGAGCAAUAGCAGGCUUGAGAUUACUCCGGAACACGAGCAUACAAAUAGACCGACGUAAAAUCCCACUGUCACUGAAAACACGAGAUUGAGAAACUCAACGUCACUCCUUUUUUCAACUCUCCCCACGCGUUCACAUGCAGCGUUAUUGCUUCAUACACUCUUCUCUCUCACUCGCUCUCCAUCGACCACUCACCGCGUGACAUAUUUUCUGGCUCUAGAAAACUCAUCGAUUCUGGAAGCGAACGAUUGCCCAGCAUGUACUCGUGCUCAUCCUUCAGCACUGUUCCUGUCGUAAUGGCCAACAGCACGAAAUAAACCUGCAAUUUAUAAUUCAAAUCAUAAAUAAACUUUCGCUCUCUUUCUCUCUAUAUAGAGUUCAGUGUCGUUGCAGUAUAUUUAUAGCCAUAAAUUCGUCUUUGAAUGUAAACAGGGGAAGAGCAAAUACGGGGAUGAGAAGAUCCUAUGCGUAGAAUCGUCGAGGUAGCCGCGUCCUGAUUCGGGUGUUUUUUUCCACCGCGCGGAUGGGUUUUCGUUAUGAUUAUUAAUAAUAAUAAUAAUGAAACGAGAUUUCAGUCCAGCGCAUUGUUCCUACUGUUGAAUUGUUCGUUUUCGAAAUUUUUGCUCCGACAUUGAUGCUUGAAUUAUUCAUAGAAUAAUGUUUUGUAAUGCAGUCUUCAGCGUCGACUGUCAAGAAGACAAUGGCGAAAUGGCAGGUACGAAAUUGGGUCGGAAUCCGGUGCGGGUGCAGAAAAUUUCCGACGGAAAUGAUGGUCGGGAGUAAUUAAAUGUGUUUCGCGAAAUAUGCGGUUUGCACCAAGUUUCAAGUUUGUAAAAGAAAUGUUAACCGAAAGACCUCGAGCAAAAAACUUGAACUCAUUCAAUAUCCUCAAUUGAAUGAAAUGAUCAAAGUGUAGAUGAAUCAUAUUAAUACAUAAAUAAAAGAAUGAGUGACGCCCACGAGAUAAAUUUCCCAUGGAGAGAGGCUCAUUUGACACCCUCGUUCGUCUGGUCGCCCUUCGUUAUUCGAUAUCCCAAGGAUUUUUCUUUUCCCCAACUUGAUCUUGCCACCUCCCUGCCUUACGCCUAGACCCGAGAGUGUCUAUCGUGGACGUCACUUUGAGGAACAAAGUGGACACGAAAAUUCAAUUGAAACACGAACCGCCCUGUCGCAACAAGUUACACCAUUUUUUCUUUAUCAACGAUUUAUUGAGGCGUAGAAAAAAAAUGGAUAAAAGUAGUGGGAUAUUUGAGGAGCCCAAAGUUUUUAAUUGACUAGGAGAGGGGGAUCGAGUCAGAAGGAAUUUUCUUCUCGGUUUUGCCUUGAAAAAUCGUAAUUACAAUUCAAUUUCACGGAGGUUUAUUGACGCAUUUGCAAAAGAAAACAAAUCCUCAAUGCGACAUUUUUUUCCUCGUUUUUUAUUUGGAAGCAGGUGGUUAAAAGCUUUUACGGUGAUAUAAUUUGAGGAGGAGUGUCAACAUUUUUCCUGGAUUUUUAAAGAACGUUUCCCAUUACCCGGUGAGGGAGUGGGAGGAGUAAAAUAAAUAUUUACACGAUAAUAAAGUUCAAAUAGAGUGAAGUAAGAGGAAACAACCUUAUUGGCCUCGGGCACGAGGAGCCGAGGUAUUUUUCUUAGGAUCUUGAUAUAUUUGGUGCUCUUUUGCACAGCUUCCAUUUGGCGAAGAAGAUCGAAUGCGGUGGACGACGGAGAGAACACGUAAAAGGGCAACCUGAUAUUUAUUUUGCCGAGACUCGGAGGAAAAACUUGAGCGAAAUUCGACGCAACCUCAUGAGAAAAUGAGAAUUCUUCCUCUGCUUGAAGUACUCGGAAUUUGACGUUGUCCGGAAUGACUCACGCGCAACAGUCGGACAACAAAAGUUGUUAGAAUGCUGGCUUCGCGACGAGAGGCGGAUAUUUACGCAAUAUGCGGGAACACGAUCUGAGACUUGGACGUGUCAGCGGGAUCGUUACGUCACUCUCGGGAGAUAAUUUGGUGCCAAAUAUUCCUCACCUUUCUUGUACAAAGGAGAUGCUCCGCGCGUCGACCAAUUUGAGACAAAACGUCGGAACAACUCUAAUUAUACGAAAAAAGGAAGAGAAAAGGAGAAAUAAAUAGGAGACUGACCCAGCACCGGUGAGACGGGCGCCCAUCGCUCCGCAAUCCAUCGCCAUUUGUACAAGCUCGUUUACAUAUGGAUGACUGCACUCGUAAAGUUCAUCCAAACUUGUGUGACUUUUGCUCAUGAGAUUUCCGAGAUUACGAAUCCGCUCGAUAUCGCUCGUAUCGUUGUCCUCGCUGACACGACGGAAGGUCAAUACUCUUGCAGCUUCUAUUAACAUUUCAAUGUAAACAUUCACAUGGGAGGAAGCGCUUGAUUCGGCUCAAGUACAUCGCGAGCAAAGUGUGCCAAUUUCAAAUUCAAAUGAUCCAACUUUUCCCGAUCAUUUUUAAAAGUUCGAAACGCAGUUACAUAAAGAGAAUUUCUAUUA
rnacentral:lncRNA from 1 species